CCGGAGCUUGCUCCACCGAAAGAAAAAGAGUGGCGAACGGGUGAGUAACACGUGGGUAACCUGCCCAUCAGAAGGGGAUAACACUUGGAAACAGGUGCUAAUACCGUAUAACACUAUUUUCCGCAUGGAAGAAAGUUGAAAGGCGCUUUUGCGUCACUGAUGGAUGGACCCGCGGUGCAUUAGCUAGUUGGUGAGGUAACGGCUCACCAAGGCAACGAUGCAUAGCCGACCUGAGAGGGUGAUCGGCCACACUGGGACUGAGACACGGCCCAGACUCCUACGGGAGGCAGCAGUAGGGAAUCUUCGGCAAUGGACGAAAGUCUGACCGAGCAACGCCGCGUGAGUGAAGAAGGUUUUCGGAUCGUAAAACUCUGUUGUUAGAGAAGAACAAGGAUGAGAGUAAAACGUUCAUCCCUUGACGGUAUCUAACCAGAAAGCCACGGCUAACUACGUGCCAGCAGCCGCGGUAAUACGUAGGUGGCAAGCGUUGUCCGGAUUUAUUGGGCGUAAAGCGAGCGCAGGCGGUUUCUUAAGUCUGAUGUGAAAGCCCCCGGCUCAACCGGGGAGGGUCAUUGGAAACUGGGAGACUUGAGUGCAGA
rnacentral:rRNA from 1 species